rnacentral:rRNA from 1 species
CAGAUUAUAGUUUGAUCAUGGCUCAGAUUGAACGCUGGCGGCAGGCCUAACACAUGCAAGUCGAGCGGCAGCACAAGUAAGUUUACUUAUGAGGUGGCGAGCGGCGGACGGGUGAGUAAUGCCUAGGGAUCUGCCCAGUCGAGGGGGAUAACAGUUGGAAACGACUGCUAAUACCGCAUACGCCCUACGGGGGAAAGAGGGGGACCUUCGGGCCUCUCGCGAUUGGAUGAACCUAGGUGGGAUUAGCUAGUUGGUGAGGUAAUGGCUCACCAAGGCGACGAUCCCUAGCUGUUCUGAGAGGAUGAUCAGCCACACUGGGACUGAGACACGGCCCAGACUCCUACGGGAGGCAGCAGUGGGGAAUAUUGCACAAUGGGGGAAACCCUGAUGCAGCCAUGCCGCGUGUGUGAAGAAGGCCUUCGGGUUGUAAAGCACUUUCACGUAGGGAGGAAAGGGUGAGUCUUAAUACGGCUCAUCUGUGACGUUACCUACAGAAGAAGGACCGGCUAACUCCGUGCCAGCAGCCGCGGUAAUACGGAGGGUCCG